GGAGUGCGCGCGGCCGCGUCGGGAUCCGGCAGAACCAAAUAUAGUCGAGCCUGGAUUAUUUUUAGCCGGGCCUCGGGCGCGAGCCCGCCGCGUGAGGGGGCGCCCUGACCCCGCCAGGAGUGCGGAGGGGGCGGGGGCGGAGUCGCCAUCUUGGACCCGGCUCGACCCCGUCUAGUGACCGGCGGCGCUGGGCCAGGCUCUGCGCAGGGGGUCGGGAAGCACAAGGAAGUUAAGUAACUUAACCACGUGCACGCCAAGAUUUGCAGCCAGGUAGUCUUCAGAUCCUAUGUGCUUCGCUGUGUCCCAGUGCCAGCCUCAUGCACGUUCGUUUUCAUUCUGACAGGUGUGAGGUGAUAUCUCUUUGAGGUUUUGAUGUAUAUUUCUCUGAU